GGAGUCUAGCAUGUGCGCGAGUCAUUGGGACAUGACUAAACCUAAAGGCGCAAUGAAAGUGAAGGCCCGCCUCGCGCGGGCCUAGGGAGGAUGGGCGGCCGUAUUCAAGCCGCCCCGCACUCCCGGGGCGUCUCGUUCUCAUUGCGAGAAGAGGCGCACCAAGAGCGUACACGCUGGGACCCGAAAGAUGGUGAACUAUGCCUGGUCAGGACGAAGUCAGGGGAAACCCUGAUGGAGGUCCGUAGCGAUUCUGACGUGCAAAUCGAUCGUCGGAACUGGGUAUAGGGGCGAAAGACUAAUCGAACCAUCUAGUAGCUGGUUCCCUCCGAAGUUUCCCUCAGGAUAGCUGGCGCUCGUUGCGUACGAGUUUCAUCCGGUAAAGCGAAUGAUUAGAGGCAUUGGGGUCGAAACGGCCUCAACCUAUUCUCAAACUUUAAAUGGGUGAGAUCUCCGGCUUGCUCGAACUCUUGAAGCCGCGAGACUCGAAUCAGAGUGCCAAGUGGGCCAUUUUUGGUAAGCAGAACUGGCGCUGUGGGAUGAACCAAACGCCGAGUUAAAGCGCCUAAAUCGACGCUUAUGGGAUACCAUGAAAGGCGUUGGUAACUUAAGACAUCAGGACGGUGGCCAUGGAAGUC
rnacentral:rRNA from 1 species